rnacentral:rRNA from 1 species
UUCCGUAGGUGAACCUGCGGAAGGAUCAUUACCGAGUGAGGGCCCUCUGGGUCCAACCUCCCACCCGUGUUUAUUUUACCUUGUUGCUUCGGCGGGCCCGCCUUAACUGGCCGCCGGGGGGCUUACGCCCCCGGGCCCGCGCCCGCCGAAGACACCCUCGAACUCUGUCUGAAGAUUGUAGUCUGAGUGAAAAUAUAAAUUAUUUAAAACUUUCAACAACGGAUCUCUUGGUUCCGGCAUCGAUGAAGAACGCAGCGAAAUGCGAUACGUAAUGUGAAUUGCAAAUUCAGUGAAUCAUCGAGUCUUUGAACGCACAUUGCGCCCCCUGGUAUUCCGGGGGGCAUGCCUGUCCGAGCGUCAUUGCUGCCCUCAAGCACGGCUUGUGUGUUGGGCCCCGUCCUCCGAUCCCGGGGGACGGGCCCGAAAGGCAGCGGCGGCACCGCGUCCGGUCCUCGAGCGUAUGGGGCUUUGUCACCCGCUCUGUAGGCCCGGCCGGCGCUUGCCGAUCAACCCAAAUUUUUAUCCAGGUUGACCUCGGAUCAGGUAGGGAUACCCGCUGAACUUAAGCAUAUCAAUAAGCGGAGGA